UGAGAAUAUAAGUGACGAGGAGACUCAUCCAGUUUGUCCUGAGGAUGGCCUGUUUUUAAGAGGCUCACCACAACGCAAAGAUGAAGAAGAAGAGAAAGAAGAUGCUAAUGAUAAUAAUGAUGUCCAGGUAA